rnacentral:misc_RNA from 1 species
AAGUCAUAACAAGGUUUCCGUAGGUGAACCUGCGGAAGGAUCAUUAAUAAUGCCCUCUGACUUCGGUCAGCUGGGUUCAAAUGAGUGCCUUCUCUUCGGAGUUGGCCAUCCUCACACACCGUGAACUGUGGCUUCGGCCAUCACAAACCGUUAGUAAUGAAUGUAAUAUCAUAACAAAAACAAAACUUUUAACAACGGAUCUCUUGGCUCUC